UAUCAGACUUGUCACAAGGUUGUUCUAACAAGUCUGAUACAGUCAUGAUGAACAAGGAUGUUACAAGGUUGACGACACAGGUUGUAAUAAUACUGCUAUGUCAUGACUGUAUAGGACUUUCUGGAACAACCUUGUAACAAGUCUGAUC